rnacentral:rRNA from 1 species
UACGGAGGGAGCUAGCGUUGUUCGGAAUUACUGGGCGUAAAGCGCACGUAGGCGGCUUUGUAAGUUAGAGGUGAAAGCCCGGGGCUCAACCCCGGAAUUGCCUUUAAGACUGCAUCGCUUGAAUCCGGGAGAGGUGAGUGGAAUUCCGAGUGUAGAGGUGAAAUGCGUAGAGAUUAGGAAGAACACCAGUGGCGAAGGCGACUUACUGGACUGUAACUGACGCUGAGGCAUGAAAGCGUGGGGGAGCAAACAGG